UACGAAGGGGGCUAGCGUUGCUCGGAAUCACUGGGCGUAAAGCGCACGUAGGCGGUUCGUUAAGUCGGAGGUGAAAUCCUGGAGCUCAACUCCAGAACUGCCUUCGAUACUGGCGAUCUUGGAGUCCGGGAGAGGUGAGUGGAACUCCGAGUGUAGAGGUGAAAUUCGUAGAUAUUCGGAAGAACACCAGUGGCGAAGGCGGCUCACUGGCCCGGUACUGACGCUGAGGUGCGAAAGCGUGGGGAGCAAACAGG
rnacentral:rRNA from 1 species